rnacentral:rRNA from 1 species
UACGUAGGUGGCAAGCGUUACUCGGAAUCACUAGGCGUAAAGCGCAGGUAGGUGGUUGGAUAAGUCUGCUGUGAAAGCUCCCGGCUUAACUGGGAGAGGUCAGCGGAAACUGUCUGGCUAGAGUAUGGCAGGGGAAACCGGAAUUCCAGGAGUAGCGGUGAAAUGCGUAGAUAUCUGGAGGAAUACCAAUGGCGAAAGCAGGUUUCUGGGCCAUUACUGACACUAAGCUGCGAAAGCUAGGGGAGCAAACAGG